rnacentral:rRNA from 1 species
UACAGAGGGGGCAAGCGUUAUUCGGAAUUACUGGGCGUAAAGGGCGCGUAGGCGGAUAUUUAAGAUUGAUGUGAAAUCCCUGGGCUUAACCUAGGAACUGCAUUGAUUACUGGAUAUCUAGAGUACUGUAGAGGGUAGUGGAAUUUCCGGUGUAGCGGUGAAAUGCGUAGAGAUCGGAAGGAACACCAGUGGCGAAGGCGGCUACCUGGACAGAUACUGACGCUGAGGCGCGAGAGCGUGGGGAGCAAACAGG